rnacentral:rRNA from 1 species
CAGUCGACGAUGAACCCAGCUUGCUGGGUGGAUUAGUGGCGAACGGGUGAGUAACACGUGAGUAACCUGCCCUUGACUCUGGGAUAAGCGCUGGAAACGGCGUCUAAUACCGGAUACGACCUGCCCCGGCAUCGGGUGUGGGUGGAAAGUUUUUCGGUCAAGGAUGGACUCGCGGCCUAUCAGCUUGUUGGUGAGGUAAUGGCUCACCAAGGCGACGACGGGUAGCCGGCCUGAGAGGGUGACCGGCCACACUGGGACUGAGACACGGCCCAGACUCCUACGGGAGGCAGCAGUGGGGAAUAUUGCACAAUGGGCGCAAGCCUGAUGCAGCAACGCCGCGUGGGGGAUGACGGCCUUCGGGUUGUAAACCUCUUUUAGUAGGGAAGAAGGACUUCGGUUUGACGGUACCUGCAGAAAAAGCACCGGCUAACUACGUGCCAGCAGCCGCGGUAAUACGUAGGGUGCAAGCGUUGUCCGGAAUUAUUGGGCGUAAAGAGCUCGUAGGCGGUUUGUCGCGUCUGCUGUGAAAACCCGAGGCUCAACCUCGGGCCUGCAGUGGGUACGGGCAGACUAGAGUGCGGUAGGGGAGAAUGGAAUUCCUGGUGUAGCGGUGGAAUGCGCAGAUAUCAGGAGGAACACCGAUGGCGAAGGCAGUUCUCUGGGCCGUAACUGACGCUGAGGAGCGAAAGCGUGGGGAGCGAACAGGAUUAGAUACCCUGGUAGUCCACGCCGUAAACGUUGGGCGCUAGAUGUGGGGACCUUUCCACGGUUUCCGUGUCGCAGCUAACGCAUUAAGCGCCCCGCCUGGGGAGUACGGCCGCAAGGCUAAAACUCAAAGGAAUUGACGGGGGCCCGCACAAGCGGCGGAGCAUGCGGAUUAAUUCGAUGCAACGCGAAGAACCUUACCAAGGCUUGACAUAUACCGGAAACUUCCAGAAAUGGUUGCCCCGCAAGGUCGGUAUACAGGUGGUGCAUGGUUGUCGUCAGCUCGUGUCGUGAGAUGUUGGGUUAAGUCCCGCAACGAGCGCAACCCUCGUUCUAUGUUGCCAGCACGUCAUGGUGGGAACUCAUAGGAGACUGCCGGGGUCAACUCGGAGGAAGGUGGGGAUGACGUCAAAUCAUCAUGCCCCUUAUGUCUUGGGCUUCACGCAUGCUACAAUGGCCGGUACAAAGGGCUGCGAUACCGUAAGGUGGAGCGAAUCCCAAAAAGCCGGUCUCAGUUCGGAUUGAGGUCUGCAACUCGACCUCAUGAAGUCGGAGUCGCUAGUAAUCGCAGAUCAGCAACGCUGCGGUGAAUACGUUCCCGGGCCUUGUACACACCGCCCGUCAAGUCAUGAAAGUCGGUAACACCCGAAGCCAGUGGCCUAACCGCAAGGAGGGAGCUGUCGAAGGUGGGAUCG